rnacentral:rRNA from 1 species
GUGAGGAAUAUUGGACAAUGGGCGCAAGCCUGAUCCAGCCAUGCCGCGUGCAGGAAGACGCAUCUAUGGUGUGUAAACUGCUUUUGUACGGGAAGAAACACUCCCUCGUGAGGGAGCUUGACGGUACCGUAAGAAUAAGGAUCGGCUAACUCCGUGCCAGCAGCCGCGGUAAUACGGAGGAUCCAAGCGUUAUCCGGAAUCAUUGGGUUUAAAGGGUCCGUAGGCGGUUUAAUAAGUCAGUGGUGAAAGCCCAUCGCUCAACGAUGGAACGGCCAUUGAUACUGUUAGACUUGAAUUACAAGGAAGUAACUAGAAUAUGUAGUGUAGCGGUGAAAUGCUUAGAUAUUACAUGGAAUACCAAUUGCGAAGGCAGGUUACUACUUGUGGAUUGACGCUGAUGGACGAAAGCGUGGGGAGCGAACGGGAUUAGAAACCCUAGUAGUCC